UACGUAGGGAGCGAGCGUUAUCCGGAAUUAUUGGGUGUAAAGGGUGCGUAGACGGGAAGACAAGUUGGUUGUGAAAUCCCUCGGCUUAACUGAGGAACUGCAACCAAAACUAUCAUUCUUGAGUACUGGAGAGGAAAGUGGAAUUCCUAGUGUAGCGGUGAAAUGCGUAGAUAUUAGGAGGAACACCAGUGGCGAAGGCGACUUUCUGGACAGAAACUGACGUUGAGGCACGUAAGUGUGGGGAGCAAACAGG
rnacentral:rRNA from 1 species